rnacentral:rRNA from 1 species
CAGUAGCCACGGUAAUAUGUAGGGUGCGAGCGUUAAUCGGAAUUACUGGGCGUAAAGCGUGCGCAGGCGGUCGUGUAAGACAGGUGUGAAAUCCCCGGGCUUAACCUGGGAACUGCGCUUGUGACUGCACAGCUAGAGUAUGGCAGAGGGGGGUGGAAUUCCACGUGUAGCAGUGAAAUGCGUAGAGAUGUGGAGGAACACCGAUGGCGAAGGCAGCCCCCUGGGCCAAUACUGACGCUCAUGCACGAAAGCGUGGGGAGCAAACAGGAUUAGAUACCCCUGUAGUCCCUGUCUCUUAUAC